rnacentral:rRNA from 1 species
CUAAGAGUAUACGGUGGAUGCCUUGGCACUUAGAGGCGAUGAAGGACGUAGGUAACUGCGAUAAGCUUCGGGGAGCUGUUACACAAGCUAUAAUCCGGAGAUGUCCGAAUGGGAAAACCUGUCUCAUUGAAGAUGAGAUACCCUAUGCUGAAUACAUAGGCAUAGUGGAGCAAACUCAGGGAACUGAAACAUCUAAGUACCUGAAGGAAAGAAAACAACAGUGAUUCCCCAAGUAGCGGCGAGCGAACGGGGAACAGCCUAAACCGUGGUUGUGUAAGACUGCAAUCGUUGCAGCCACGGGGUCGUGGGACGCUCACGGUCAGUUGCAGCUGGCCAUGCGUAUGUACUUUAUAAAAUCGAACAAGCUGGGAAGCUUGACCAUAGACGGUGAUAGUCCGGUAGAUGAAUUAUAGAGACAACGCAGAGAUGUUCCCGAGUACCGCGGGACACGAGAAACCCUGUGGGAAUCUGGGAGGACCACCUCCUAAGGCUAAAUACUACUAAGUGACCGAUAGUGAACCAGUACCGUGAGGGAAAGGUGAAAAGUACCCCAAAAGGGGAGUGAAAUAGACCCUGAAACCGUAUACUUACAAGCAGUCAGAGCACUAUUUUAAUUGUGUGAUGGCGUGCCUUUUGCAUAAUGAGCCUGCGAGUUACCUUCUGCAGCAAGGUUAAGUCGGUAGACGAAGCCGAAGCGAAAGCGAGUCUGAAUAGGGCGUUUAGUUGUUGGAGGUAGACCCGAAACCGAGUGAUCUAUCCAUGGCCAGGUUGAAGCGCGAGUAAGAUCGCGUGGAGGACCGAACCCACCAAAGUUGAAAAUUUGGGGGAUGAGCUGUGGAUAGGGGUGAAAGGCCAAUCAAACUCGGAAAUAGCUGGUUCUCUCCGAAAUAUAUUUAGGUAUAGCCUCGGAUGUUUACCACUGGAGGUAGAGCACUGAAUGGGUUAGGGGUCUCACCAGAUUACCGACCCCAAUCAAACUCCGAAUGCCAGUGAGUAUAGUUCGGGAGUCAGUCAGGGGGAGAUAACUUCCUUUGACGAGAGGGAAACAACCCAGACCGCCGGCUAAGGUCCCAAAGUACAUACUAAGUGGAAAAGGAGGUGGGAGCGCAUUGACAACCAGGAGGUUGGCUUAGAAGCAGCCAUCCUUUAAAGAAAGCGUAAUAGCUCACUGGUCCAGCGAACCUGCGCCGAAAAUGUAACGGGUCUAAGUAUGUCACCGAAGCCGCGGAUCUCGUAAGAGAUGGUAGGAGAGUAUUCUAACGGCGAUGAAGGUCAACCGAAAGGAUGGCUGGAGCUUUUGGAAGAGCUUAUGCAGGCAUGAGUAGCGAUAAAACGGGCGAGAAACCCGUUCGCCGUAAGCCUAAGGUUUCCUAGGCCAGGUUAAUCCUCCUAGGGUGAGUCGGACCCUAAGCCGAGGCCGAGAGGCGUAGGCGAUGGAAAACAGGCAAAUAUUCCUGUACCAGCUCAGCAUGUUUGAUUCUCAGAAGGGACGGAGAAGGAUAGAUCAGCCACACGUUGGUUAGUGGUUUAAACCCGUAGGCGGUCACUCUAGGACGCGAAGGCGACAAACGGAGUGGCAACGCUGAGAGGUGAUGAGGUGGGCUAAGCCCUGAACUGAUUAAUUCCCUGCUUCCAAGAAAAGCUUCGGAGAUAAUGACUGAGCUGACCGUACCGUAAACCGACACAGGUAGGCGGGGAGAGCAUCCCAAGGCGCUUGAGAGAACUCUGGUUAAGGAACUCGGCAAAUUAGCACCGUAACUUCGGGAUAAGGUGUGCCCUCACUAGGUGAAGAGACUUGCUCUCGGAGCCGAAGGGGGUUGCAGUGAAAUGGCGGUAGCGACUGUUUACUAAAAACAUAGGACUCUGCAAAGUCGAAAGACGAAGUAUAGGGUCUGACGCCUGCCCGGUGCCGGAAGGUUAAGAGGAGUGGUCAACGUAUGUGAAGCCAUGAAUUGAAGCCCCGGUAAACGGCGGCCGUAACUAUAACGGUCCUAAGGUAGCGAAAUUCCUUGUCGGGUAAGUUCCGACCUGCACGAAUGGCGUAACGACUUCCGCACUGUCUCAACCAGAGACUCAGCGAAAUUGAAUUCUCGGUGAAGAUGCCGAGUACCCGUGGCAAGACGGAAAGACCCCGUGAACCUUCACUACAGCUUGACACUGACUCUUGGGCAAUUUUGUGUAGCAUAGGUGGGAGACUGUGAGAUCUGGGCGCUAGCUUGGAAGGAGUCGCCGUUGAAAUACCACCCUGAAUUGUCUGAGUGUCUAACCGCGGCCCGUUAUCCGGGUCCGGGAAACUGUCUGGUGGGUAGUUUGACUGGGGCGGUCGCCUCCCAAAAAGUAACGGAGGCGCGCGAUGGUUCCCUCAGCCUGAUUGGAAACCAGGCGUAGAGCGCAAAAGCAGAAGGGAGCUUGACUGCGAGACCGACGGGUCGAGCAGGUACGAAAGUAGGCUUUAGUGAUCCGGUGGUUCUGCGUGGAAGGGCCAUCGCUCAACGGAUAAAAGGUACUCCGGGGAUAACAGGCUUAUCUCCCCCAAGAGUUCACAUCGACGGGGAGGUUUGGCACCUCGAUGUCGGCUCAUCGCAUCCUGGGGCUGGAGCAGGUCCCAAGGGUUUGGCUGUUCGCCAAUUAAAGCGGUACGCGAGCUGGGUUUAGAACGUCGUGAGACAGUUCGGUCCCUAUCUGCCAUGGGCGUAGGAAGUUUGAGAAGAUCUGUCCUUAGUACGAGAGGACCGGGAUGGACGUAUCACUGGUGUUCCGGUUGUCGCGCCAGCGGCACCGCCGGGUAGCCACAUGCGGAAAGGAUAACCGCUGAAAGCAUCUAAGCGGGAAACCCACUUCAAGAUUAGACUUCCCUGACGCAAGUCCUAAAGCCCCCUCGAAGACGACGAGGUUGAUAGGCUGGAUGUGGAGGCGUGGUAACACGUGAAGCUAACCAGUACUAAUGGGGCGUGAGGCUUUCCA